rnacentral:rRNA from 1 species
UACGGAGGAUGCAAGCGUUAUCCGGAAUGAUUGGGCGUAAAGCGUCCGCAGGUGGCUAUGUAAGUCUGCUGUUAAAGAGUGAGGCUCAACCUCAUAAAAGCAGUGGAAACUACAUGGCUAGAGUGCGUUCGGGGCAGAGGGAAUUCCUGGUGUAGCGGUGAAAUGCGUAGAGAUCAGGAAGAACACCGGUGGCGAAAGCGCUCUGCUAGGCCGCAACUGGACACUCAUGGACGAAAGCUAAGGGGAGCGAAUGGG